AUCAGCGCUGGGGACUGGCUGAAGCGUAGAUAAAAGCCCCAGCUGUGAUUUCUCGGGGUGUCAGUUUCACCUCCAGCAGUAAAGCAAACUGUCCUUGUGCCUGGGGGAAAUUACGGAGCCUCACACUUUCAUCCAGAGAGGGACAAAGGGGAGGUCAGGUGCUGCAUCUGACAGAAGUGGGGACGUGUGAAAUGUGAUUAACCCAGGAAGAAGCCAGACAGAGCCCGGCUGGGGCCUCCGCUGCCCCUGUGUGUUUCCCAGGGUCAGGAGCAGGAGUGUGCUUGGGCCGCAUUCAUUAUUGCAUUAGGAUUUGGUUUCCGCCAAACCAACCUUCCCUGGUUCCUCUGCUUGGACAACGUGUCUCUGGUUAGAGAUGUGUGCUGAAAACAGGAAAAAGGAGGGAGGCAAUUUUCAAGACAGGCACUGAUGCUUUAAAAGGAUUCUUCACAGGGCAUGAGAGAGCCAUACCUAGAAUGAAUUAUGGAUCCAUCCAGUGUCCCAUGCAUCCUGUAUGUCAAGUUUCCAGAAUCCACAUCCCUGGAAUCUCUGUGAGCCUGCUGCAAGAGCCAAGCCCAUGAUGACACCAUGUGAAAAGGGCAGAGCCCAUGGAGAGAGGUCCAAACCUACUACCUACUGGCUCCAUGAAAUCAACUGAGGUGCUAAACUUCUCAACGUUUUCAUUCCUCCAUUCUAUAAAUA